rnacentral:rRNA from 1 species
CACACGUGUUACAAUGGGGGGUACAGAGGGCCGCUACCACGCGAGUGGAUGCCAAUCCCCAAAACCUCUCUCAGUUCGGACUGGAGUCUGCAACCCGACUCCACGAAGCUGGAUUCGCUAGUAAUCGCGUAUCAGCCACGGCGCGGUGAAUACGUUCCCGGGCCUUGUACACACCGCCCGUCAAGCCAUGGGAGCCGGGGGUACCUGAAGUGCGUAACCGCGAGGAGCGCCCUAGGGUAAAACUGGUGACUGGGGCUAAGUCGUAACAAGGUACC